rnacentral:rRNA from 1 species
GCUUUAGGAGGGGCUUGCGCCAUAUUAGUUAGUUGGUAGGGUAAUGGCCUACCAAGACGAUGAUGUGUAGCUGGACUGAGAGGUUGAACAGCCACAUUGGGACUGAGACACGGCCCAAACUCCUACGGGAGGCAGCAGUAGGGAAUUUUCGGCAAUGGAGGAAACUCUGACCGAGCAACGCCGCGUGAAUGACGAAGUACUUCGGUAUGUAAAGUUCUUUUAUCGAGGAAGAAAAGCAAAUGGCGAACCAUUUGUUUGCCGGUACUUGAUGAAUAAGCCCCGGCUAAUUAUGUGCCAGCAGCCGCGGUAAGACAUAAGGGGCAAGUGUUAUCCGGAAUUAUUGGGCGUAAAGGGUGCGUAGGCGGUCUAGUAAGUCAGUGGUGUAAUGGCAACGCUUAACGUUGUCCGGCUAUUGAAACUGCUAAACUUGAGUUAGAUAGAGGCGAGUGGAAUUCCAUGUGUAGCGGUAAAAUGCGUAAAUAUAUGGAGGAACACCAGAGGCGUAGGCGGCUCGCUGGGUCUUAACUGACGCUGAGGCACGAAAGCGUGGGGAGCAAACAGGAUUAGAUACCCUGGUAGUCCACGCCGUAAACGAUGAGUACUAAGUGUCGGGUUAAACCGGUACUGAAGUUAACACAUUAAGUACUCCGCCUGAGUAGUACGUACGCAAGUAUGAAACUUAAAGGAAUUGACGGGACUCCGCACAAGCGGUGGAUCAUGUUGUUUAAUUCGAAGAUACCCGAAAAACCUUACCAGGUCUUGACAUGUUUUUGCAAAAUGAUAGUAAUAUCGUGGAGGUUACCAGAAACACAGGUGGUGCAUGGUUGUCGUCAGCUCGUGUCGUGAGAUGUUAGGUUAAGUCCUAAAACGAGCGAAACCCUUAUCGUUAGUUGCCAGCACGUUAUGGUGGGGACUUUAACGAGACUGCCAAUGAUAAAUUGGAGGAAGGUGAGGAUCACGUCAAAUCAGCAUGCCCCUUAUGACCUGGGCUACAAACGUGAUACAAUGGCUGUUACAAAGGGUAGCUGAAACGCAAGUUCUUGGCCAAUCCCCAAAAACAGUCCCAGUCCGGAUUGAAGUCUGCAACUCGCCUUCAUGAAGUUGGAAUCCGCUAGUAAUCGCGGAAUCAGCAUGUCGCGGUGAAUACGUUCUCGGGGUUUGUACACACCGCCCGUCAAACCACGAAAGUUGGCAAUACCCCAAAACGGUAGCCUAACUCGUUUAUUCGAGAGGGCGCCGUCUAAGGUAGGGUCGAUGAUUGGGGUUAAGUCGUAACAAGGUAUCCCUACCGGAAGGUGGGGAUGGAUCACCUCCUUUCU